rnacentral:rRNA from 1 species
UGAGGAAUAUUGGACAAUGGGCGCAAGCCUGAUCCAGCAAUGCCGCGUGCAGGAUGAAGGCCUUCGGGUUGUAAACUGCUUUUGUACGGAGCGAAAAGGUCUGCCCUAAUACGGUGGGCUCAUGACGGUACCGUAAGAAUAAGCACCGGCUAACUACGUGCCAGCAGCCGCGGUAAUACGUAGGGUGCGAGCGUUAAUCGGAAUUACUGGGCGUAAAGCGUGCGCAGGCGGUUAUAUAAGACAGAUGUGAAGUCCCCGGGCUCAACCUGGGACCUGCAUUUGUGACUGUAUAGCUAGAGUACGGUAGAGGGGGAUGGAAUUCCGCGUGUAGCAGUGAAAUGCGUAGAUAUGCGGAGGAACACCGAUGGCGAAGGCAAUCCCCUGGACCUGUACUGACGCUCAUGCACGAAAGCGUGGGGAGCAAACA